GGGGCCCACUGGUUUCCAUCAAAGCCGUGACGAGGUCCUCCCAGAGCAGUGGGUAGCCAGUGAUCCGCUGGCAGACUGCAGGUGCCCAGCAGCCUUUGGGAACGUGCAAAUCCCCUUCAACUAUGCACUUGCUUAGUCUUCCCAUGUCCUUUCUACACCCUUACCACCUUUCUGCCCAUCCUUAUGCCAUCUGUUUGCAUUCCUUUUCCGUGAAGUCGCCAGACCUUGCUGGUGGCGCCAAAAAGUUUGGAAAGGUGGACAAGUCCACUGAUGUUCCGCAGUGUGGAAACAGGCACUCAGUCAAUGCUUGAAUGAAGGAAGCUGAAACCAGGUCGAGCCUGGCCCCCAGAGUCUGGGUGGGUCGGACUCGGCCCUGGGGCCAUAGGGCUGGGCGCCCGGAGCCGGAACGUGCCGAAACCGUGACCCCGGGCUCCCGCCACUAGCAGCAGUACCUGGGCGUCCCAGUCCUGCUAAUGGCUAGCCCUGUGUCUCACUGCCCCCAGAGGUCGCAAUGUGUUUGGCAAUGACCAUGGCCCCUACCCGGAGCACGUCACCCGGGCGGCAACCACAGAAAACUCGGAACGGCAGCUCGACGGCCGCAAGAAGCCGCCUCCAGUGCCGACCAACCGCGAUCCGGAAGGCCGCCCGGCCGGAGGGCCCGCGCCGGCUCGUCGCUCCCCGAUACGUCACAUCCGGUCGGAACCGGCCCGGCCGCCUGAGGAGAGCCUGUUUCCGUGGGGGAGGCGGAGCGGGCCCGUGGGGCGGGGCCUCGGCUGACCGGGGGCGGUGCCUCAGCUGGUCGGGGGCGGGGCGGGGCCCUGGCCUGCCGAGCUCGCAGGCGUCCGCCGGCCGGGCAGGCCCGGUGGCGCCGAGCUCCGGGGCCGCGACGGCAGGUAGGAAGGAGCUCCGGGUCAGCACUGCCAACUGCCCUAACACGGAACCUUUGGCCAGUGUGGAAAAAGCAGCCAGCCUGGGGUUCCCUCCCUUGCCUUGUGGUGCAUCUGCUGAAACUCUUCCGGCCCCUCAAGCAGAAAUGGUGUGGGAUCUGGGCCAGACCCCUCUUGCAGUGACUCAAAGCCGCCCACCCUACUGGAAGGACAGGGUGGAUGACCCUUAGCCUCCUCUCCCUUCUGAACUGGCUCACGCCACCGCGGUGGCUUCAGUCCUGGGUGCCUUCAUCUUUUCCCUGUGACUCUCCUCCACUUUGCUUGUCAUAUUCCCUCUGGUUUUCCUGCCUCCCUCUUCAACGGUGGGACACAAGGCUGGACCAAGGCCUCCACGGAAGAGCUCUGCCAUCAAGGAAGGCAGCACAGGGCUGGGCCGUGCCUAUGGACCCUUCUCAGGACAACCCAAUGGUACCAGCAGGGCUGCUCUCCUAAGCCGCAGAGAGCCUGGGCUCACCAUCCUUCAGGAGGAGCCAUGGUGUUUAGGAGGGGCAGGGGCAGCUCCCAGCAGUGGCCUGGCCCAGGAGGGGGCAGUGGCUGCACAGGCUGCCUAGGUAUGCUCAAGGCUGCCCUGCUGCUUGUCAGCCUACCGUGGGGGGCCUGGGGAACAGCCAUUGCCGGUGCCAACCUCAGCACGGCUCUGGGCCAUACUGUGCCACUGACAGGGGGCCGCUACUUGAGCAUUGGGGAUGGCUCUGUGAUGGAGUUUGAGUUCCCAGAGGC
ensembl:lncRNA